GAUGAACGCUGGCGGCGUGCCUAAUACAUGCAAGUCGAGCGAAUGGAUUAAGAGCUUGCUCUUAUGAAGUUAGCGGCGGACGGGUGAGUAACACGUGGGUAACCUGCCCAUAAGACUGGGAUAACUCCGGGAAACCGGGGCUAAUACCGGAUAACAUUUUGAACCGCAUGGUUCGAAAUUGAAAGGCGGCUUCGGCUGUCACUUAUGGAGGGACCCGCGGCGCAUUAGCUAGUUGGUGAGGUAACGGCUCACCAAGGCAACGAAGCGUAGCCGACCUGAGAGGGUGAUCGGCCACACUGGGACUGAGACACGGCCCAGACUCCUACGGGAGGCAGCAGUAGGGAAUCUUCCGCAAUGGACGAAAGUCUGACGGAGCAACGCCGCGUGAGUGAUGAAGGCUUUCGGGUCGUAAAACUCUGUUGUUAGGGAAGAACAAGUGCUAGUUGAAUAAGCUGGCACCUUGACGGUACCUAACCAGAAAGCCACGGCUAACUACGUGCCAGCAGCCGCCGUAA
rnacentral:rRNA from 1 species